AUACGUAGGGUGCAAGCGUUAAUCGGAAUUACUGGGCGUAAAGCGUGCGCAGGCGGUUUUGUAAGACAGUGGUGAAAUCCCCGGGCUCAACCUGGGAACUGCCAUUGUGACUGCAAGGCUGGAGUGCGGCAGAGGGGGGUGGAAUUCCGCGUGUAGCAGUGAAAGGCGUAGAUAUGCGGAGGAACACCGAUGGCGAAGGCAAUCCCCUGGGCCUGCACUGACGCUCAUGCACGAAAGCGUGGGGAGCAAACAGGAUUAGAUACCCUGGUAGUCCACGCCCUAAACGAUGUCAACUGGUUGUUGGGGAUUUAUUUUCUCAGUAACGAAGCUAACGCGUGAAGUUGACCGCCUGGGGAGUACGGCCGCAAGGUUAAAACUCAAAGGAAUUGACGGGG
rnacentral:rRNA from 1 species